AUUUUUGUAGUUGAAUACCUCACAACAAUAGCUUUUCACGCUUUAAGUUUGGGCUAACACCCCAACAAAAAUC
rnacentral:tRNA from 1 species